rnacentral:misc_RNA from 1 species
CCGAAUUCGCCCGCAAGGGCAGAGUUCCCACCCGUGUAAACAUACCUUUGUUGCUUUGGCAGGCCGCCGGGGCUCGCCCCGCUGCCGGCUCGCGCUGGCAAGCGCCUGCCAGAGGACCCCAAAACCUGAAUGUCAGUGUCGUCUGAGUAUCAUAUAAUAAGUUA